GAUGCUCUAGGGUGUUCGUAAGACACCUUAUAUACUCUCUCUUCGAAAGAAAUAAGGGAGCUUAAAAUCCGGUUUCGGCCGUGGCUGAAACGUGAGAGCACCCACCUUACGGAUGCUGGGGGUACAGUAUCCAUGAGGUUGAGCGGCAUUCUGGAGCGAUA
rnacentral:other from 1 species